AGGGUUCUAGAUGCCCCCGGCCUCUGUGACAUCGUCCUGUUACAUCUUGUCCCCAGGAGCCUCCAGUUGCCUAGGACUGGGGCCAGGACAGCAUUCCUGGGUCUCUGACCUCGGGGCCUGAGCAGCCUUUGAGAAAACUUGUGGAACGCUCAGAGCACCCCCGGGUCCUGGACCUCACGAGGCUCCGGGGUGCCACAAAGUGGCUGGUGGUCCCCAGGGUCGCGGAUCCGGCGCCUAUACCCAUCCUCUAGAGUGUCAUCUCCCCGAGACCACCAAAGAUCCACCAAGGUUAGGUGCCAAUGUCACCCCCCCCCCACCCUUUAGAGAUACACAGAAGGACCCAGACUUGUUCAGGGUACCCCUUCCCCCAUGAGGUCGGGUCUCAAAACCCGAACUGCAAAGCUCCUCCGUCUCUCCCGCUCUAUUCACUCUGCUCCAGCCACGGGCACCUCCUCAUGGUUCUUACAACACACCAGGCGCGGUCCUGCCCCCGGGCCUUAGCACAGGCUGUGCCCUCUGCCUGAAAUGCCCUUUCCCAGGGCCGGCUCUUUCUCACAACUGAGGUCUGAGUUUGCACGUCCUCAGAGUCUAACUAGAUUUGAUCUGGGGGGAGAGAGGUGCCCAAGUCAGGGUGGAGCUGGCAGGACUGGGUGGUCCCUGUCUUCACCGCCUGGUAGGCCUCAAGUCCUGCACCAGCUUUAUUCUCUGUGCCUUUGCUCCAGCCGGGUCCCCAGCUGUCCCCAACCCCACCCCCACCCCCGCGGGCCCUUCCUCAGCCACAGGACACCUCAUCCCCCACACCUCCCACCUGGAGUCUGCCCCCUGCCGGGCCAGGCAGCCUGCUCCCGGCUUCAUUGCUGGGUCUGCCAUUCACAAGCUGUGUGACAGCAGGUAAAUCACUCAAUCUCUCUGGGCCCCCGACUCCAGAUCUAAAAAACAGGCAUAACUAUGAGGAACCCAGCUUAGGAGCCGGGCGGGGAGAGAAGUGAAUGAGAUGACCCGUGACCUGCGCCCAGCACUGGGGUCUGACCGUUUCUCUCUGCCGGACUGGCCCUGCCUCCACUUUGAAAUCUUUCCAGUCAGGGAAUUUUCUAGAGUCCCAGUCCUCCGGCCUCUCCCACAGCUCCCCAUUGCCGCCCAGAUGCAGGCCACACACCGGCCCACAAGCCCCCCACCCCCCAUGAUGGUCAAGACCCUGCCCAUCGAUCUCUUCCACCUGAGGCCCUUGGAUGCUCCAAAUGCAUCUCGAGUCCUUGACCUCCAGAGCUUUGCAGACGCUGCUUCCAGCGCCAGGAGUGGCAGCGUCUCCUCCGUGGCACCUCGCCAGGCUGACUACUUACCCUUCAGGUCUCCUCGGUGGCCGGAUGCCUCCCUGGGCAGCCCUCAUCUGGCCACGGGGGAGAGGCAGGGACACGGGGAGGAGGCCGGCGGCAGCCUCGCCAGGAGCCCAGGCGGCAGGACAUGGGCAGAGUCUCCCCCGGGGCCUCAGGAGGAACCGCCCCCUGCCAACACCUGGGUUGUGGACUUCUGGCCUCCAGAGCUGGGAGAGAAGAAAGUUCAGUGGUUUCAUGACCCCCCCCUCCAGCCCCGCACCCCGGGGUGGUGGUUCCUUGUUACAGCAGCCGCUGCAGGCAAGGAACAUUCCCUGGGAGCCUUGCCCCAGGUCUGCGUCCAGGGGAGCCAGCGGGGCAAGGUGUCACCCCACCCAGAGUGGAGGGGGCAUCAUUCCCAGAAGUCACUGGUGCUGGCGGCUGUCGUCUUGUUCAAGCCACUGCUCAUUUCCCUAAGGGACGGGCCUGGGCCCCGCUGGAAUCCUACAUCUGUGUCUUUGCAUUUUUCAAGUCCCAGCCCUUUGUGGUGAGAGACUUGGGGUUUUAUGUUGUGAUUCUCACCACGGCCUUAAGGGAAGACGAUGGGAGCGUGGAUAUUUAGGGGAUGUUUGGUAAGUAGAGGAAUGACGGACGAUUAUGGGGGAAAAGGCAGAGAAAGGUUCUCCAAAGACGGCAGCUGAUAACGAGGCGUCUUGGUUUCCUAGGGCUGCGCAGCAGAGCACCGCGAGCUGGGCGGCUGAGAACAUCCGAAAUUUAUUUUUUUCCAAGUUCUGGAGACCAGAGGUCCACGAUCAACCUGUCGGCAGCGUGUACCUCCCCCACCCCCCGACCCCCUCGAGGGCUCCUCUAGCUGCUGGAACCUGCUCUGCCCACGUGAGCCAGCCAGUGAGCACCCCUGGGAGCGGCCCCGGACCCACGACCGGUGGGACCCCGUGGACCAACACUCCAUCUCUCGCGCUCCUCAGGCGAUCAGAUGAAAUGGCUUUGGGGUGCGUGUCCCUCACCACCUCCUUGAGGACCCCAGUGGGACUGAGCUCCAGCUGCCCCCAUGCUGACUGUGCUUCCUUGAAGUUGCCCUCCCUUUCCUGUGUCUGACACAUACACACACACCCCACUCCCCUCCCAGGGAUUUCUGAAAUCACUGCCAACAUCACUAAUCUCAUUUCAAAUUCUUGUCUCAGGAUCUGCUUCUGAGGGGAGCCGAAACUAGGAGGCCGCCUGAGAACAGAGCCGGUGCAUAAGAAAACAGAACAAAGAGACCGAGAGACGCCCAGGUGCUAGAAACAUCGUCUGCACAUCUGGAUCGAGCUGAGCCUGAAGGCCACCUGGGAGAUGAAAUAAUACAUCCCCCCCCUUUUUUUUUUGGCUGAAAGGAGAUUUCUGUCCCCACACAAUUAACCUCCCAGGGAAGAGGUGAGGCUUCCAGAACCUCACCCGAGAAGGGACACCCGGCACAACUGUAAGCCUGAUAUUCUAUUUCUGCUUCACCCACCUCUACCUGCCACCCAAUGUUUGCAGGGGGAGCCUCCUUUCGCGGUGCUGGCGGGGGCACGCUGAAGGUGUCCGGCUCCUCAGGCUGUUAGAAAACACAUGUCAGAUGGGGUGACGGGAUGUGUCCCGGAGCUCAGAGUCACAUGUAGUCGCGUGUCCUUCCCUCCUUCCUCCCGCAUCCCCGCAUCCCCUGUUGCACUCAGUGUCCAACUUGCCCCCCUCUGCGAGGAAUGCCCUGGGGGUCGGGGGGGCAAGGUGUGCAAGGGGUCAGGCAGGGAGAAGCCGUCCACCCGCAGCCAGACCCGGGCCCCUCUGUCUCUCGGUCUCUCCUCUCCGGGCAUCUCUGUUCCCGUCUCCCCUUGUGUUUCUCUCACUUACUCUCUCCUGCCUGUCGUGUUUCCUUCGGUGGCUCCGUGUCUGUCCCUUCGGCCCCGCGAUGAUGUGGUUGGCCUCCGUCUCCCCCCGCCGCGCCCUUGGAGCCCGACAGUGGCCCUCGCUGACCCAGCAGGCUGCUCCUCCCCUCGGACCGCUCACCUUCGGGGGGACAGAUGCACAGUCAGCAGAGGCCUUCUGAACACCGUCCCCCAGGGGCCACCCACUGCCCUUUGGGCUUGCCACUCUGCUUUUCCCCGUGGCCCCCAGGAGCCAGCGAGCCUGCAGAGAGGAGACGAUCAUCCCAAAGGCUGCAGCCGACGAGGGGGGCCGGACUGCCUUCCUGGCCCCAGAGCCCCGGGUCAUCCUGCCCCGCAGGCCCGGCGUCGGCUGCAAACCAACAGCGGCCUCGCUGUUUGGCCAGACUCCCCCCUUUCUCUUCCUACCUCCCCCCAUCCCCCCGCAGAAGGCAUUUCUGAGCAGAGGGAUCUGUCUGUCUGUCUGCCUGGGACAACGUGCGAGGCGCCCGACGACGCACCAUGGUGACCAAGACAAAACCCCUGACCUUACGGAGCUUCUGUUCCAGCUGAGAAGAGGGAAGACAGCCAAACAACGAAUUAGCUUAAUGAAUAAAGCAGCCAUCAGACGAAUCAUUUCAGGGUGUGACGUGCAGCGAAGGAAAUCAAGCGGGGGGCAGCGUUUGCGGGGGUGGAGUGGGGGGGCGCUCAAGGAAAGUCUCCCUGAGGCACGCACGUUUGAAUGGGAAGAGGGAAGAACUUUGCUUCUAGAACAUUCCUGGGGCGCCACCAAAUCACACUCCACCAAACUGACCUGGGGUUUGCCGAUCGGCGUCAUUUCAUUUUAUUUGCUCAUCAAAUGUUUGCUGGGGACCCACUGUGUGCAAGGCACUGGGCCUGGACGCUGGGGACACUGAAGUGACCAGGACAGACCCAGUCAGUCGCCACCCGCCCGGGGCUCAGUCCAGGGGAGGAGCAGGGCCUCCAAACAAAUGAACAAGCAUAUUUCAAACAGUGGUGGCGAGUCCCAUGACAGAAGUAAGACAACGAAGAGACGCGAUCAAGUGUCUGCGAGACAAGAAAUCGUGGGCAAGAGCGUGAGGACAAGCAGGGUGUUGGCAGGGUGUCAAAGCAGCGCUCCCGAGAUCCUUAGGAAUUCGGAAAGUAAAACGGGAAUUUUCCAGUGGGGGAGCCUGCGUUGGGGGGGCGGGGACAGACACGGUGGUCACCGUGGGAUCAAGGUUAACAUCAAGGAGACGCAUCCGCUUCCAGGGGCUUGGCCUUCUGCACGGGGGACACAUUGUCGUCCCUGCCUGCCCCACCCCCACCCUGUUGCCAUACGCGGGAUCCGGGUGGAGAUGCCCAACCUGGGCUCAUCGUGAGCCAAUUCCAGAUGGACCCGAACUGAGGGAUGUCCCACAAAACUCGUGGCCAGUGCUCUUCCUAGGUGCCAAGGUCAUAGAAGAUGAGGACACUGUCCCAGAGCGCAGGGCGCCACCGGGCAGAUGCUCUGACAAGGUACAGGGAGCGGCUCUGGGUGGGAUCCUGGGUCAGGAAGGGGACCCCCACAGGGAAACUCGUCAAACCUGAAUGAGUCCUGUAGGUUUGUUAGCAAUGCUGUGCCCCCA
rnacentral:lncRNA from 1 species